CGGAAACGGAAACAGAUAAGCUUCAAGACUUUCAAAAUUAUAAUCAUAUUUAAGAGUUUGCUGUCAUUGAACCAAGAAAUUUUCGAAAUAUCAAAGAGUAUAUGUAUCAAAAUCAUUCCCAAAUGUCGAAACUAUGACCUUAUUCAACUUAUCUAGUUUGAAUCAAAAUCAAAUACCCAUGCAAAUAUAUUUUCAUAUGUUUGAAACAGAAACUGCACAAAAAACCGUUAUAACGUUCGUCAAGAUUGAGGCGGAGGCAAUUCUUCAAUUCCAAUGCGGGAUACUGAAAGCCAACCACUAUGAGCAUCAGCAUCGCCAUAAUUCGGACAAUUACCAAUCAGGAAGCCAACGUUGAUGUUACCUUUAGGGACACGGCAAUAACCCUCUAUAUGGCGAUGACGAUGAAUUUCUGUCGUGCCUUUUCCUUUCCAA
rnacentral:lncRNA from 1 species